UUUGCGGUGUGGGAUGGGCCCGCGGCCUAUCAGCUUGUUGGUGGGGUGAUGGCCUACCAAGGCGACGACGGGUAGCCGGCCUGAGAGGGUGUCCGGCCACACUGGGACUGAGAUACGGCCCAGACUCCUACGGGAGGCAGCAGUGGGGAAUAUUGCACAAUGGGCGAAAGCCUGAUGCAGCGACGCCGCGUGGGGGAUGACGGCCUUCGGGUUGUAAACCUCUUUCACCAUCGACGAAGGUCC
rnacentral:rRNA from 1 species